rnacentral:rRNA from 1 species
GGCGAGGGGAGUGAAAAAGAACCUGAAACCGUGUACGUACAAGCAGUGGGAGCACAGGUUUACCUGUGUGACUGCGUACCUUUUGUAUAAUGGGUCAGCGACUUAUAUUCUGUAGCAAGGUUAACCGAAUAGGGGAGCCGCAGGGAAACCGAGUCUUAACCGGGCGUUAAGUUGCAGGGUAUAGACCCGAAACCCGGUGAUCUAGCCAUGGGCAGGUUGAAGGUUGGGUAACACUAACUGGAGGACCGAACCGACUAAUGUUGAAAAA